GUUCCCAGGCUAGGGGUCCAAUCAGAACUACAGCUGCCAGCCUACACCACAGCAACAACACCAGAUCCAAGCCACACCUGCGACCUACACCACAGCUCAUGGCAAUGCUGGAUCCUUAACCCACUGAGUGAGGCCAGGGAUCAAACCCGCAUCCUCAUGGAUCCUAGUCGGGUUCAAUAACCACUGAGCCACAAAGGGAACUCCCACUUUUUUUUUCUUUAUGGCCGCACAUGAGACAUAAGGAAGUUCCCCAGCCAAGGACUGAAUCUGAGCUUCAGUUGCAACCUACGCCGCAGCUGUGGCAACACUGGAUCCUUUAACCCACCACACUUGCACUGGGGAUCAAACCCACACCUCCACAGUGACCCAAGCCACUGUAGUUGGAUUCUUAACCCACUGGGAACUCCAACAGACAUCCUAUUUUAUUUUUGUGAGAGUUUUUUUGUCCUUUUAGGGCCAAACUCGCAGCAUGUGGAGGUUCCCAGGCUAGGGGUCUAAUGGGAGCUGCAACUGCCAGCCUACACCAUGGCUUGCAGCAAGGCCAGAUCUUUAAUCCACUGAGCAAGGCCAGGGAUGGAACCUGCAUCCUCCUGGAUACUAGUCGGGUUCUUAACCUGCUGAGCCACAGUGGGAAUUCCUAUGUAGGUUUUUUUGGCCACACCCACAGCAUUCAGAAGUUCCUGGGCCAGGGAUUGAACACACACCACAUCAGGGACAACGCCAGAUCCUUAAACUGCUGAGCCACAGGGGAACUCCUAGGCAUCCUCUUUUAAACCACCUAUAGCUCCGGAAGGUUCCAAGCUAUCAGCCACUUGCCCCUCAAUAAAGGUGAGCAAAACCGAUUUGCUUCUCCCCAUGCCUGCUUGAGAUGAGCCAUACGGAGCAAGUAGAGUUUUCAUCCAGGCCAAAUAAGGCGAGUCUUCAGGGCUGGUAGCUGCUUUAAGGGCAGCAUAGCCCACCCCGCUACGCCCUCUUCUCAUGACUUGAGCUGCUUUAGAGAAGGUAGAAUGGACUUGAACUCCUGGGUCCUGAGACAGGACAGAAAGGGCUGGGGUAGGGUGGGGGCUCACCCUAUGUCUGUGCUUUCUGAGGGCUCGGUGGCUCGGGCUCCCCCCCCCCCACCCAGAGACCACUGCCUCCCGGGCCGGGGGCUUGAUCUCCGCGAUGUCAUUUAGUUCCCCAGACAGGCUGCUAGGAGGGGAUUAUGACCUGAGCCCAGUGGAUAGCAGGACCCCCCACACACUCACUUCCUCACCUUCACAGGCUGCUCCCAGGGACCCUCAAACACAGGCUGGACUCACUGGUGAUUUGAAUUAGGCGGGUGUCUGAAAACUGGCCCAGGGCCGGGGUCUCUGGGCCCACCCUGGCAAGCCUGGGGUCCAUCUGGAGGACUUGGCCCUGCAUGGCUGAGGGAGGGGCAGGAGAUCAGGGCUAUUUAUUAGCUUGUAGGCAGACCCCUUGUGCAGUCUGGUAAACCUGUGGCUUAUUCCCUCUUCAACGCACAAGAUAAAAAUACACAAGAAAAAAAAUUGUAGCUGUGUAUCCUGACAGAUGUUAGCCAGACUUACUGCGGUGAUCAGUCCAUAAUAUACACAGAUAUCAAAUCAUUAUGCCGUACACCUGAGACUAACACAAUGUUACAUAUCAAUUAUAUUUCAAUUAAAAAAAUAAUACAUGGGACUCGUUUGCCACUUAUAUCUCAAUAAAGUUGGGUAGAGGGAUAAAAUUAUUUAACUCCCUGGGGCUACAAAAAAGAAUUAAUAACAUUGGAACACAGCUCUGCUCAUGGAUUUCCUGGGGAUCGUGGACCACAGGUCUCAGCCCAAGAGAUAAGCCCCCCCGGCUCGGAUCCCACCCCCUCCUCCCAGCCAGAUUUAGGAUCCAAAGGUUGCCCUCAGUCACUUUGGUGGCCUGUGACCUCCAAAAAGCUUAGCUUUAAAGUCUGGGUGAUCCUAUGUUCCGAGGCCCCCAAUAUGCCCCCUCCCUGAGUGCAGGGGUAGGUGAGAGACACACCCCCACAGGGCCAGGCCUGAGCAGAGGGAAGAAAGCAGGCCCGGGCAGUCCACCCAGGCGUCCCCAGGCCCCAGCGUCUGCCUCUGCCCUCUCCUGGUCCCUUCCCAGCCCCGGGGGUGCCGAGCUGAGUAACUCCAGCUAUGCAGCCUGGCCGGUCUACCUGGGCGUGAGUGGGCAGGGCUGUCCUCAAGUGGGUGGCCCCCUACACCUGCAGGGCCACAGGAACCGAGAAAGAACGAGAAAUUGGAGGGACGGUGCCAGGCAAAAGCUGAACAACCACAGCAGCUCUUGUCUGCUCGGGUCUAGGGCCCCAACGCACGUGCCACGCGCUGCUGUAAGCAUUUGACACACGCAAGCUCAUUGUACCCUCGCAGUAACCCCAGGAAGGAGGGGUGAUGGACUCCUGUGUUACGAGGAGGAAACUGAGGCACAGUCAACUUGUCAAGGAUGCCAAGCUAGGGCAUGGUGCCACCCGCCAGGGCAGACUGGCUCCAGAUGCUUUUCUUCCUCUUGCUUAAGAAAUGGAUGUUGGCCGAGUUCCCGCCGUGGCGCAGAGGAAACAAAUCUGACUGGUAGCAUCCAUGAGGACACAGGGUGGAUCCCUGGCCUCGCUCAGUGGGCUAAGGAUCCAGCGUUGCUGUGGCUGUGGUGUAGGCUGGCAGCAACAGCUCCGAUUUGACUCCUAGUCUGGGAACUUCCAUAUGCCAUGGAUGUGGUCCUAAAAAGCAAAAAAAAAAGAAAGAAAGAUGGAGUUCCCGUCGAGAGAGAGGUCUGUGGAUUCCCACCACCCUCAUCCACCCCCCUGCCCCUCCCCCACACCCAGCCACAAAUCCCAGACCUUAGCGCGUCUUACUCGUGGCAUCAAGUAAGUCCGUGCAGGUCUGAGACCCCAGAUCCUGGUUACAGUCACAGCUAUGCCCUGGUCAGAGAGGUAGGGCAGUGCAGACCAUGACUAGGAAAUGGGGGGUUGACUCAGAGGGAGAGAGACUCCUGGGCAUCAAAUAUCUCUGAAUACUGGAACCACCUUUGGGUGGUCAACUUUGCAGCUCUGCAAAGGCCCUCCCCUCCUUCCCCUUCUGCCCCGUCCUCUCCUCCAACAAGGUGAAUCGACCGUGAGAGAUUUUUGGCUUCAUGUUAGCUGUCGGAGAACAUGUAGGUUGUCUCUAGAAGUGAUGAGCUCCCCAUCAGUAGAGGCAUUCAACACAGAGAGGCUGUCUACUAGGAGGGGCACUCCCGGCAGUCACUGACAGACCCCGCCCCCCUCUCUGCAGUUUUUCUGGUCAUCCCCACUUAGGGUCUCAUAAGCAAUGCAAAGCCAAUAAGUCCCAAACUGAGCUCCUGAAUACCCACCCCAAUGAGACACCUCCGUCUUUCCCAAUCAGGAGCCCAGACCCCAAAACUCUGGCCAGAAGAGGGCUUCAGUAUGGAAGAUGAUGACAUGAGAAUGGCCAUCCCACACAGGACACGGGCCAUCUGGAAAAGGAGCUCCAUCCUAGAGGGCGAGUGCCCAGCCACCAGUGUCUGCUGUCUCUCUGAGGAGCUGGGUGGGAGGGGCAAUCCCCCCUGGUAGCCCGGGUGGGGUGGAAGCACAUGGUAGAGGAGGCGGGGUGUGUGUGUGGGGGGGGUAGGGGGGAGUAGCACCUUUUUUCAGUGCAACCCUAAUCUCGCCAGUUUUCUUACCCCACUGGUCUAGAAAGAAGAUCACACAUCCCCAGACUCUCAAGCAUCCAAAGGCCCAAGGGGCCAGUCAGCAGCAGGUGGACCCUCCCAGUUUCCUCAUUCCCACUGUACAGGGCCUCUGUCACCUCUGAACAGCCUCCCUCAGGAAAAAGAAGCCUGCUCGGGACUCUGCCGAUGACGCAAGGCCCUGCUGUGACGGAACUGGUCUUUCCCCCGAGUCUCUCCUGUCCAUCCCGUCCUGGGUCCUGCCCACUGCUCGGAGUGUGCCCCUCACCAGCUCGAGCACCCUCAGCGGCUCCCUUCUACGCAGGGAAAACAAGGAGAGGCGUUCUAAAAGCCGAGCCCGUCCUUUUCCCAGGUCGCUGCUCCCUGACUGUCUUGUGAGCCACUUGAAGAUGGGACCACAUCAGAAAUCAGGCUCGUAGGAAGAAAGGCCAGGCAGAUAAAAGAGCUGGGCCUGGCUCAGCGCCCUGCCAAGUGUGCGGUGAGGGUGGCAAACAGCGCCAGGGCGGGGGACGUGCUCUGCCCCUCCCCGGCCACAUGGGAAGCCCAGGGUUAGUUACAGGAGAUCUGAGGCAGGAAAGCCCCACUUAGGACCUGGCAUGCAGAUGCCUGUGGGGAGACUCAGGGGCCCAGGAAUCCCGGCCCUGGCUGGGCACCCUCUGGAGCCUGGCUGAGGUACACCCCAGACCCGGCACAGUGCUGGGGCCCGGCAGGUGCUCAGCAGUGGUUUAUUAGAGUAAAAUGCAGCCUCUGUGCCCCGUCUCCCCAUUCACUCUGGACUGCUUAACCCAGCAUCUGGCUGGGGACUGGGUGGCCUGAGUCUGCCAGGCAGAGAGGGGAGGUAGGGGGAGGCGGGCUUCCACCCACCCUCUCACCCCCGGUUCCAGAGGCAGCCAGGCUGGCUCUCCUCUUGCCUGUCUUCUGAGCCUCACUCUCUGCCUUGACUCUAGUAUGGAGACAGCUUCAAGGAUGGCCUGGGCCAGCCCUGCCGUGGCCCAGAACGGUCACACACAUGUUCUCUUUCUCUCCCUGCUCCUACACUGGGAGGUGGUUUUCUGCAGUCCCUGGGUUCUGAGUCACUGCGCAGGUCACUGGAGGCAGGCAUGUCCCUCAAGGACAAAGGGCACGCUGUGUGGAACCACGGCCUCUAUGGACUCGCUCACUAGGGUUCUUAUCCCCAUUUUGCAGAUGAAGAUGUUGAGAUCCAAACUUGUCCAGGGCAGUGAGAUCUGAUUAGGGGCAGGGUCACUGCAGCCCAGGGCUUGGCUCCUUAUAAACUGGGGUUGGGGCCUUUAGAGGCUGGCCCGGGGCCACUGCCCAAUGUUCCCAUUCGCUGAGCACUCCCCACCCUACCACCAGUUCCCAAGGUGAAUUGCCCAGCUUGACUGUCCAU
rnacentral:lncRNA from 1 species